rnacentral:ncRNA from 1 species
GCGGACGGUGAUGUCCGCUUGGGAUGUAGCCUUGAAGGCUGAACCGUUAA